rnacentral:rRNA from 1 species
UACGGAGGAUGCGAGCGUUAUCCGGAUUUAUUGGGUUUAAAGGGUGCGUAGGCGGACUGUCAAGUCAGCGGUAAAAUUGAGAGGCUCAACCUCUCCCCGCCGUUGAGACUGGUGGUCUUGAGUGGAUGAGAAGUACGCGGAAUGCGUGGUGUAGCGGUGAAAUGCAUAGAUAUCACGCAGAACUCCGAUUGCGAAGGCAGCGUACCGGCAUCCAACUGACGCUGAGGCACGAAAGCGUGGGGAUCAAACAGG